rnacentral:misc_RNA from 1 species
GAUGAAGAACGCAGCAAAAUGCGAUAAGUAAUGUGAAUUGCAGAAUUCAGUGAAUCAUCGAAUCUUUGAACGCACAUUGCGCCCGCCAGUAUUCUGGCGGGCAUGCCUGUUCGAGCGUCAUUUCAACCCUCAAGCACAGCUUGGUGUUGGGACUCGCGUUAAUUCGCGUUCCUCAAAUUGAUUGGCGGUCACGUCGAGCUUCCAUAGCGUAGUAGUAAAACCCUCGUUACUGGUAAUCGUCGCAGCCACGCCGUUAAACCCCAACUUCUGAAUGUUGACCUCGGAUCAGGUAGGAAUACCCGCUGAACUUAAGCAUAUCAAUAAGCGGAGGA